AUUGAACGCUGGCGGCAUGCUUUACACAUGCAAGUCGAACGGUAACAGGCCUUCGGGUGCUGACGAGUGGCGAACGGGUGAGUAAUGCAUCGGAACGUGCCCAGAGGUGGGGGAUAACGCAGCGAAAGCUGUGCUAAUACCGCAUGUGAUCUGAGGAUGAAAGCGGGGGACCAGGCAGCAAUGUUUGGCCUCGCGCCUUUGGAGCGGCCGAUGUCAGAUUAGGUAGUUGGUGGGGUAAAGGCCUACCAAGCCGACGAUCUGCAGCUGGUCUGAGAGGACGACCAGCCACACUGGGACUGAGACACGGCCCAGACUCCUACGGGAGGCAGCAGUGGGGAAUUUUGGACAAUGGGCGCAAGCCUGAUCCAGCAAUGCCGCGUGCGGGAAGAAGGCCUUCGGGUUGUAAACCGCUUUUGUACGGAACGAAAAGGAUCUGGCUAAUACCUGGGGCUGAUGACGGUACCGUAAGAAUAAGCACCGGCUAACUACGUG
rnacentral:rRNA from 1 species